rnacentral:rRNA from 1 species
CCUACGGGAGGCUGCAGUGAGGAAUAUUGGUCAAUGGACGAGAGUCUGAACCAGCCAAGUCGCGUGAAGGAUGACUGUCCUAUGGGUUGUAAACCUCUAUUAUCUGGGAAUAAAAUGUUCCACGUGUGGGCUUUUGUAUGUACCUUAUGAAUAAGCAUCGGCUAACUCCGUGCCAGCAGCCGCGGUAAUACGGAGGAUGCGAGCGUUAUCCGGAUUUAUUGGGUUUAAAGGGUGCGUAGGUUGAUUUUUAAGUCAGUGGUGAAAGUGUGAUGCUCAACCGUAAAAUUGCAGUUGAAACUGGCAGUCUAGAGUACAGAAGAGGUAGGCGGAAUGCGUGGUGUAGCGGUGAAAUGCAUAGAUAUCACGAAGAACUCCGAUUGCGAAGGCAGCUCGCUGGACUGGAACUGACACUGAGGCUCGAAAGUGUGGGGAUCGAACAGGAUUAGAUACCCCGGUAGUC